rnacentral:rRNA from 1 species
UGGAAGAGUUUGAUCCUGGCUCAGAGCGAACGCUGGCGGCAGGCCUAACACAUGCAAGUCGAACGAACUCUUCGGAGUUAGUGGCGGACGGGUGAGUAACACGUGGGAACGUGCCUUUAGGUUCGGAAUAACUCAGGGAAACUUGUGCUAAUACCGAAUGUGCCCUUCGGGGGAAAGAUUUAUCGCCUUUAGAGCGGCCCGCGUCUGAUUAGCUAGUUGGUGAGGUAAAGGCUUACCAAGGCGACGAUCAGUAGCUGGUCUGAGAGGAUGAUCAGCCACAUUGGGACUGAGACACGGCCCAAACUCCUACGGGAGGCAGCAGUGGGGAAUCUUGCGCAAUGGGCGAAAGCCUGACGCAGCCAUGCCGCGUGAAUGAUGAAGGUCUUAGGAUUGUAAAAUUCUUUCACCGGGGACGAUAAUGACGUACCCGGAGAAGAAGCCCC